CGCAGCCGCGGUAAUUCCAGCUCCAAUAGCGUAUAUUAAAGUUGCUGCAGUUAAAAAGCUCGUAGUUGAAUUUCGGGAUCAAUAUGUUGGUCGUGCCUCGGUACGUACUGGCUUAUUGGUUUCUCCCUUCCGACGAACCAUGAUGUCAUUUAUUUGGUGUUAUGAGGAAUCAGGACUGUUACUUUGAAAAAUUAGAGUGUUUAAAGCAGGCUCACGCUUGAAUACAUUAGCAUGGAAUAAUGAAAUAGGACGUUUGAUUCUAUUUUGUUGGUUUCUAGGAUCGACGUAAUGAUUAAUAGGGAUAGUUGGGGGCAUUAGUAUUCAAUUGUCAGAGGUGAAAUUCUUGGAUUUAUUGAAGACUAACUACUGCGAAAGCAUUUGCCAAGGAUGUUUUCAUUAAUCAAGAACGAAAGUUAGGGGAUCGAAGACGAUCAGAUACCGUCGUAGUCUUAACCAUAAACUAUGCCGACUAGGGAUCGGAUGAUGUUAAUUUUUUAAUGUACUCAUUCGGCGCCUUAAC
rnacentral:misc_RNA from 1 species